rnacentral:rRNA from 1 species
UACGUAGGGAGCAAGCGUUGUUCGGAUUUACUGGGCGUAAAGGGCGCGUAGGUGGCCAACUAAGUCAGACGUGAAAUCCCUCGGCUUAACCGGGGAACUGCGUCUGAUACUGGAUGGCUUGAGUUUGGGAGAGGGACGCGGAAUUCCAGGUGUAGCGGUGAAAUGCGUAGAUAUCUGGAGGAACACCGGUGGCGAAGGCGGCGUCCUGGACCAACACUGACACUGAGGAGCGAAAGCCAGGGGAGCAAACGGG